rnacentral:rRNA from 1 species
UACGAAGGGGGCUAGCGUUGUUCGGAAUCACUGGGCGUAAAGCGUAUGUAGGCGGAUUGUUAAGUCAGGGGUGAAAUCCCGAGGCUCAACCUCGGAACUGCCUUUGAUACUGGCUGUCUUGAGUCCGGGAGAGGUGAGUGGAACUCCUAGUGUAGAGGUGAAAUUCGUAGAUAUUAGGAAGAACACCAGUGACGAAGGCGGCUCACUGGCCCGGUACUGACGCUGAGGUGCGAAAGCGUGGGGAGCAAACAGG